GACGAACGCUGGCGGCGUGCUUAACACAUGCAAGUCGAACGGAAAGGCCCUGCUUUUGUGGGGUGCUCGAGUGGCGAACGGGUGAGUAACACGUGAGUAACCUGCCCUUGACUUUGGGAUAACUUCAGGAAACUGGGGCUAAUACCGGAUAGGAGCUCCUGCUGCAUGGUGGGGGUUGGAAAGUUUCGGCGGUUGGGGAUGGACUCGCGGCUUAUCAGCUUGUUGGUGGGGUAGUGGCUUACCAAGGCUUUGACGGGUAGCCGGCCUGAGAGGGUGACCGGCCACAUUGGGACUGAGAUACGGCCCAGGAUCCUACGGGAGGCAGCAGUGGGGAAUAUUGCACAAUGGGCGGAAGCCUGAUGCAGCAACGCCGCGUGCGGGAUGACGGCCUUCGGGUUGUAAACCGCUUUCGCCUGUGACGAAGCGUGAGUGACGGUAAUGGGUAAAGAAGCACCGGCUAACUACGUG
rnacentral:rRNA from 1 species